UCGCCCACUUUCUACAUCCGCCGCCGCCACGCUCGAGCUCUCUCCCCGCCGCCACGCUCGAGAUCUGCAGCCGGACGCGUGCUGUCCAACCGGCCGGGACGCCGCCCCUUCUCCCUCUCCCUCCAUCCUCCAUGCUAUCCACCGCCGACCCCACUACAUACUUCCGCCGCCAUGCGCUCGCCUGCCCUCCACCGGUAGGUGCUCUCUCCGCCGUGAUGUGCUCGAGCACCCUCGGCUGUCAGGUGGUCUCUCCUCCUGUUCCAUGUAUCUCCCUCCCCUAUCGCUCACCACGGGAACGCAUCCCGGAAAUCCCACUCCAAACCCUAGCAUGCAGAUCUCUGUCUAUUCGCUUGAUUGACCAGAGCAGCAGAUUGGAUCGAGGGCGGCCACAUGAGCGUACCCCCGCCGCAUUCGCCUAGACUUGCGUCGCUCCUGCCUGGAAUCGCUUUGCUACUUCGUGGUGUGGCCUUGCCGUCGCGUGGGGUCGCAGCCACCCGUCGCCACUCGCCAGCAAGGGAGUGACAUAUCGACAUUGGCAUCUGCGAGCAGUGGCAAUGAUAUUAUAACAGGAACAUGCAAAAGAGGACGACGAACCAUGAAGUUGACAGUUUGCGUCAACUGGAUAUUUUUUGUAUUUUUUAAUGGUGACUAAACUAUUGGUGAUGCAUUUUAGCUAUCAUUUUGUAAACCUAUGGUGUCUCGGACAGUGAACCACAAUGUUUCCUCUAUUUAAUUAGUUACCUUAGUUUAUGGGAAAUUUGGAUUGUAAUUAUGCCCAUAACAGAUGAACUAUUUAUGUGUGAGAAUUAAUUAAUGUAUGUUCUAGUUUAAUAUUGUUGC